rnacentral:rRNA from 1 species
GAUGAACGCUAGCGGCAGGCCUAAUACAUGCAAGUCGAACGGUAUCCAGAUCAAAGCUUGCUUUGGUCUGGUGAGAGUGGCGCACGGGUGCGUAACGCGUGAGCAACCUACCCUUGUCAGGUGGCUAGCCCGGCGAAAGUCGGAUUAAUACCGCCUGACAUCAUUGAGAGGCAUCUUUCGAUGAUCAAAGAUUUAUCGGACAAGGAUGGGCUCGCGUGACAUUAGCUAGUUGGUAAGGUAACGGCUUACCAAGGCUGCGAUGUCUAGGGGCUCUGGGAGGAGAAUCCCUGACACUGGUACUGAGACAAGGACCAGACUCCUACGGGAGGCAGCAGUAAGGAAUAUAGGUCAAUGGACGGAAGUCUGAACCAGCCAGGCCGCGUGCAGGAAGACGGCAUUAUGGGUUGUAAACUGCUUUUAUAAGGGAACAAGCGUCGGUACGGGUACCGGUCUGAGGGUACCGUAAGAAUAAGGAUCGGCUAACUCCGUG